ACUAGACUUGCGUACAGCCGUUACCGGAAACCAGUGAUUAUGGUUUAUAAAGUUAUGAUUAUGGAUAUUUUUCUUACAAAAACACAUAGCUUCGCUUCUGAAGGCCUUUAUUAACCCCUAGAGCCAUAUGGAUUACUACAUUUAUGAUGGAUGGAUGCACAUUUUUGGGCUUCAAAGUCGCAGGUACAGUUCACUCCCAUUAUAAAGCUUGAAUAGCCAGGAUAUUUUUAAAUAUAACUCUGUAUAUGGCUGAAAGAAGAAAGUCAUAUAUAACUAGGAUGGCUUGAGGGUGAGUAAAUCAUGGGAUAAUUUACAUUUUUGGGUGAAAUAACCCUUUAAGUGUAAUGGAUUUUAAGGCCCUCUUUACACCUGGUAUUAAGAUGUGUUUUGGUCGAUCAGAUCAUGAGACGAGAGAAAAACAUUCCUGAUUACAUCUGGUAUUUUAAUCUGCCUCUUUUGCCCACUUUCAACCACUUAUGUCCUGAUUUCUUCGAUGGGAGGUUCUAUGGGAGGGAAAUGUACAGUUUUUUUUCUGAUCUUUAGCUGUAAUGGACAAAAUAAGCUCAAUUUACAUAUAAAGCAUUCAGAGACAACGGAGAACAUGGAGAGUAGCAGAUUUCGUUUUUGCUCUGACAGCAGUAAAACCAGCUGAACACUAAAGUGUGCGUUAGAAAUCAGGAAUGGUGAGAAAACAUUGUGCUUGGUACAUUUUUCAUCUUCAAACCAAACCAGUCUUCAGCUGGCAAAGUUUAAAUCCCAUCUGGCUAGUGCACAUAAUGUUUACAUGUGAGGUCAGUAAGCAAAGAGUAGUUGGUCUUUUGUAACUGUUUGUAACUGUGUGUCCACACUACGAAAGCAAUGCCAACAUUAAAGGUGACAGCUACCUCUCAGACAAAUGAAUUUAAUGGAAAAUCUUUCUUAUAGGCAUGGAAAAGAAGAAGAAGAAGAAGAAGAAGAAGAAGAAGAAGAAGAAGAAGAAUGAUGAAGAAGUUAAACUCUUCAUCCUCUUCAUCGUCUUCCUCCCUCACUUCAUCUUCAUCGGCACUCUCUUGUUCUGCAGCAGAGCGUGUGUAGCAAGGCUGGGGAAGGCUUAUCCGUUCCAACACAGCAAAGAUACUGGCAGCAACAACACUGUAGCAAGCAGGGCCGGCGCUAGCCAUUUGGGUGCCCUAAGCACAAAUGCUUGGCGGUGCCCCCCCUCCCCUCCCCUCCCCAACCAACCACCCACCCACCAACCAAAGAAAUAACUACCAUUCAGAUUUUCUUAGUUAGGUUCUCUUUACUUCCAAAAUAACUGCUGCAAAUGAAUAAUUGGAACUGAACAAUGUAAACACAGAAAGUUAAAAGUGCAAAAAAAGUUUAGUGCAAAUAACAGUAUAAGUGUAUGAAUAUUAUGAAGUAUGAAUCUUAAAGUGCACAUUUUAAACUGCAAAUAACCAUGCAAUUAUACACAGUACACACACAUAUAUCAUGUAGACACAAACUUUUAUUUUGGAUGCGAUUAAUCGAAAUUAAUCUUUUCCCAGCCCUAAUAAUUUGACAACUCUGUGAAUAUGAAAAUAUACAAACACUGAGAUUGUGUCUAAUUGCAGUUUCACCAACAGAUGUCGCCCUUGGCCGAACCUCUUGAAAAUGACCGCAUGCCAUAGUACAACAACGAAAAAUCUUUAUCUAAGCGGUCUAAUUUGGCAAAAUCACAUCACGUUCAGUUGCAGGGUUUUUCUAAAGUUCAGACUGAGGCAGAUAGACAUUGUAUUGAAGCGAAGAAAUUACAAUAGGGAACGUUCUGCACUAAUAGCUAUAUGCACACGUGACACAUCUGUAACGUACGGGGAAAAUUAGCUUUAUUUGUCAUUCAAAUAUGACGAUGAGGACCCCAACGAUUGGCCUUCCUUUCCUUCUCAAACAAACUGCAUCUUUAACAGCCCAAGUUUCACAAUUUCCCCGGACCCCGUUAAAAUAAAAGACUCAACAUGCAGGGCUAAAACCCCGGAUCUUUUUGCACUACUAGCGACGCGGACGCGCCGACGCCCCUGGACAUGCAUACUACACGCAAGGGCUACAAAACUAACAUUUUUAUUUAAAACAUUGUCUUACCUGCAAGCGAUGCGUGAGCAUCAUACCGCUGUCUCUUCUUUUUUCUUUUUUCCGCCCCCGACUCUUGGUGCCUUUUCGAGGACAUGUCUGAGGUCGGUGUCUGCCAAAUUUGACAUUGAUUGAGGCAUAAUCGAACAGACCACUGGGAGGU
ensembl:lncRNA